rnacentral:rRNA from 1 species
GACGAACGCUGGCGGCGUGCCUAAUACAUGCAAGUCGAACGCAUUUUCUUUCACCGUUGCUUGCUACACCGAAAGAAAAUGAGUGUCGAACGGGUGAGUAACACGUGGGUAACCUGCCCAUCAGCGGGGGAUAACACUUGGAAACAGGUGCUAAUACCGCCUAAUUCUAUUUACCGCAUGGUAUAUAGAUGAAAGGCGCUUUUGCGUCACUCAUGGAUGGACCCGCGGUGCAUUUGCUAGUUGGUGGGGUAACGGCCUACCAAGGCUGCGAUGCAUAGCCGACCUGAGAGGGUGAGCGGCCACACUGGGACGGAGACACGGCCCAGACUCCUGCGGGAGGCAGCAGUAGGGAAACUUCGGCAAUGGACGCAAGGCUGACCGAGCAACGCCGCGUGAGUGAAGAAGGGUUUCGGAUCGUAAAACUCAGUUGUUAGAAAAGAACAAGGAUGAGAGUGGAAAGUUCAGCCCUUGACGGUAUCUAACCAGAAAGCCACGGCUAACUACGUG